AUGGCUUACUAUGGAAUCACUGAUCCGUUGUUGUCGGAGACAUUUGCUUGCCGUGAAGCGUUAGUUUUGGCUGAUGAUCUUCCAGAGCAGAAGGUAUAUGUGGCCUCGGACUGCCAAGAGGCUGUGAACGAUAUAAACAGAGGGACGGGAGGCCCUAGUGCGGCAUUAGUACAUGAAAUAACGAAUCAUUGCACCAGUUUUAUUUCUUGCUUUUUUGUUUUCGAGCAUAGGAAUUUCAAUUUCUAUGCUCACAAUCUUGUCAAGUUUGCUUGUAAUCUAGACAUAGAUAAACAUGUUUGA
rnacentral:rRNA from 1 species